GAGCCCGUUUCAUUAGGACGCCCUUUCGGGUUUUCAUCCUAAUCUUUUUUUGUUUAUCAAGACGCCCUUUUUCGGGUUUUCAUCUUGAUUUUUCAUUUUUUUUGUUUCUUUCUAUUUUUUCAGUUUUUUUCUGUUUUUUUGUUUUUUUCUAUUUUUUCUAUUUUUUUAGGCAUAACAUUUCUUCACAGUAUCUGAGUUCAC
rnacentral:lncRNA from 1 species